rnacentral:rRNA from 1 species
GACGAACGCUGGCGGCGUGCUUAACACAUGCAAGUCGAGCGGUAAGGCCCUUUCGGGGGUACACGAGCGGCGAACGGGUGAGUAACACGUGGGUGACCUGCCCUUAGCUCUGGGAUAAGCCUGGGAAACUGGGUCUAAUACCGGAUAUGACUCCAUGACGCAUGUUGUGGGGUGGAAAGCCUUGUGCGGCUAGGGAUGGGCCCGCGGCCUAUCAGCUUGUUGGUGGGGUGANGGCCUACCAAGGCGACGACGGGUAGCCGGCCUGAGAGGGCGACCGGCCACACUGGGACUGAGACACGGCCCAGACUCCUACGGGAGGGCAGCGGUGGGGAAUCUUGCGCAAUGGGCGAAAGCCUGACGCAGCGACG